GCUCGAAUAGCUUAUAAUUGCAGAGCAUGGCACUGAAGAUGCCAAGGAGGCGAAUACUUACGCCUUUGAGCA
rnacentral:tRNA from 1 species